rnacentral:tRNA from 1 species
GGUGAGGUGGCCGAGUGGUCGAUGGCGCACGCUUGGAAAGCGUGUGUACGGGAAACCGUACCGUGGGUUCGAAUCCCACCUUCACCGCCA